rnacentral:rRNA from 1 species
UACGGAGGAUGCAAGCGUUAUCCGGAAUGAUUGGGCGUAAAGCGUCCGCAGGUGGCAAUGUAAGUCUGCUGUCAAAGCGUCUGGCUCAACCAGAUAAAGGCAGUGGAAACUACAUAGCUAGAGUAAGGUAGGGGUAGAGGGAAUUCCUGGUGUAGCGGUGAAAUGCGUAGAGAUCAGGAAGAACACCGGUGGCGAAAGCGCUCUGCUGAACCUUAACUGACACUGAGGGACGAAAGCUAGGGGAGCGAAUGGG